AGUGAACGCUGGCGGUAGGCCUAACACAUGCAAGUCGAACGGCAGCACAGUAAGAGCUUGCUCUUACGGGUGGCGAGUGGCGGACGGGUGAGGAAUACAUCGGAAUCUACUUUUUCGUGGGGGAUAACGUAGGGAAACUUACGCUAAUACCGCAUACAACCUACGGGUGAAAGCAGGGGAUCUUCGGACCUUGCGCGAUUGAAUGAGCCGAUGUCGGAUUAGCUAGUUGGCGGGGUAAAGGCCCACCAAGGCGACGAUCCGUAGCUGGUCUGAGAGGAUGAUAAGCCACACUGGAACUGAGACAAGGUCCAGACUCCUACGGGAGGCAGCAGUGGGGAAUAUUGGACAAUGGGCGCAAGCCUGAUCCAGCCAUACCGCGUGGGUGAAGAAGGCCUUCGGGUUGUAAAGCCCUUUUGUUGGGAAAGAAAAGCAGAAGGUUAAUACCCCGCUGUUCUGACGGUACCCAAAGAAUAAGCACCGGCUAACUUCGUG
rnacentral:rRNA from 1 species